ensembl:lncRNA
CUGAACACACAGAGAGACCUACACAGACUGGAGACCAGCUCUGAACACACAGAGAGACCUACACAGACUGGAGACCAGCUCUGAACACACAGAGAGACCUACACAGACUGGAGACCAGCUCUGAACACACAGAGAGACCUACAGAGAGACCUACACAGACUGGAGACCAGCUCUGAACACACAGAGAGACCUACACAGACUGGAGACCAGCUCUGAACACACAGAGAGACCUACACAGACAGACUGAGACACAGUACUAACACACACACACACACACAGCACUACCAGACACACCAGCCAUGAAGAGGAAGGAUGAAGCUCGUACCGAGGGCCUGGAUCUUAGAAAGUCCUGAUGUGACAGAAAGAAGAGACAGUACAUGUAGGAAGGACAUGCUGGUGCUCACUACAGUAGCCCCGCCCCCACCCCUCCCACAAUGCUUUGGGUUUGUUCCUGUCUCACUACAGUAGCCCCGCCCCCGCCCCUCCCACAAUGCUUUGGGUUUGUUCCUGUCUCACUACAGUAGCCCCGCCCCCGCCCCUCCCACAAUGCUUUGGGUUUGUUCCUGUCUCACUACAGUAGCCCCGCCCCCACCCCUCCCACAAUGCUUUGGGUUUGUUCCUGUCUCACUACAGUAGCCCCGCCCCCGCCCCUCCCACAAUGCUUUGGGUUUGUUGAACUCUUGUUCAUCUGGGGGGGGUUCCCUCUAAAUGGACGAGUCUCUGGACAGAAAACCUGGCUGAACAAGUGUUUCAGGUGUGGAUUUAAAUAUUCAGAUGUUUUGGUGUCGUAAACAUCCUGAUGUAUCAUAUUGAAGAGAUAUAUACAGUGUGAUGGACAUUUAACUGAACAUCAAGGACAGACGUCACUAUAUUUUAAAGGUUAUACUGUGUAUCUGGAGUCAGGGUGGAGGGGGGGGGGUAACAGGAUGUUUUAGUCAGGAAGUGGUUGAAUAUAAACUCUGGUGUUAUUAUUAUAAUUGAUCCGAUGUUAUUAACUUUAUAUAAUUAUAGAUAGUCUGUUCUAUAUAGAGGUUAUUUUGAGUCUGGUCUCAGACCACACACACACACACACACACACACACACACCAGAGAGAGACGUCUCAGACACACACACACCGAGAGAGAGACAUGUCUCACAGACACACACACACCCGAGAGAGACAUCUUAGACACACACAGAGAGAGAGUGACGUCUCGGACACACACACCGAGAGAGACAUCUUAGACACACACAGAGAGAGAGUGACGUCUCAGACACACACACCGAGAGAGACAUCUUAGACACACACAGAGAGAGAGUGACGUCUCGGACAGACACACCGAGAGAGUGACGUCUCGGACACACACACCGAGAGAGUGACGUCUCGGACACACACACCGAGAGAGUGACGUCUCGGACACACACACCGAGAGAGUGACGUCUCGGACACACACACCGAGAGAGUGACGUCUCGGACACACACACCGAGAGAGUGACGUCUCGGACACACACACCGAGAGAGUGACGUCUCGGACACACACACCGAGUGACGUCUCGGACACACACACCGAGAGAGUGACGUCUCGGACACACACACCGAGAGAGUGACGUCUCGGACACACACACCGAGAGAGACGUCUCAGACACACACACACACACACACACGUCACUCACACAGUCUCGGACACACACAGAGAGAGUGACGUCUCGGACACACACACCGAGAGAGUGACGUCUCGGACACACACACCGAGAGAGAGUGACGUCUCGGACACACACACCGAGAGAGGGAGAGACGUCUCGGACACACACACCGAGAGAGGGAGAGACGUCUCGGACACACACACCGAGAGAGGGAGAGACGUCUCGGACACACACACCGAGAGAGGGAGAGACGUCUCGGACACACACACCGAGAGAGGGAGAGACGUCUCGGACACACACACCGAGAGAGUGAGAGACGUCUCGGACACACACACCGAGAGAGUGACGUCUCGGACACACACACCGAGAGAGAGGGAGAGACGUCUCGGACACACACACCGAGAGAGGGAGAGACGUCUCGGACACACACACCGAGAGAGGGAGAGACGUCUCGGACACACACACCGAGAGAGGGAGAGACGUCUCGGACACACACACCGAGAGAGUGAGAGAGACGUCUCGGACACACACACCGAGAGAGAGAGACGUCUCAAUCGAGAGACGAGGUGGUCUGAUCUAGACAGAGGAGAUAUGAACCAGGUCACAUGCCCAUAUUAUUUAUCACACACAGAGACCUUGUUUCACGGUUAAUAUUUGGACCCCACGGGGGGGGGGGUGUAUGUGUGUAGUGUGUGUUUGGUAAGUCUAGGUACUGUACGGUGUGUUGUAUUUUACCCGCCCCAUCCUAUUUCAGUUCAAGAGGGUUGAUUUGUUCCAUCUCAAACACACACCUUUAUAUAGAACAGAAUAGAACAACCUCUGGUCAUAUAGAACAACCUCUGGUCAUGUAGAACAACCUCUGGUCAUGUAGAACAACCUCUGGUCAUGUAGAACAACCUCUGGUCAUGUAGAACAACCUCUGGUCAUGUAGAACAACCUCUGGUCAUGUAGAACAACCUCUGGUCAUGUAGAACAACCUCUGGUCAUGUAGAACAACCUCUGGUCAUGUAGAAUAACCUCUGGUCAUGUAGAACUACCUCUGGUCAUGUAGAA